rnacentral:rRNA from 1 species
UACGUAGGGUGCAAGCGUUAAUCGGAAUUACUGGGCGUAAAGCGUGCGCAGGCGGUUUUGUAAGACUGUCGUGAAAUCCCCGGGCUUAACCUGGGAAUGGCGAUGGUGACUGCAAGGCUAGAGUUUGGCAGAGGGGGGUAGAAUUCCACGUGUAGCAGUGAAAUGCGUAGAGAUGUGGAGGAACACCGAUGGCGAAGGCAAUCCCCUGGGCCUGCACUGACGCUCAUGCACGAAAGCGUGGGAGCAAACAGG